rnacentral:rRNA from 1 species
GAUGAACGCUGGCGGCGUGCCUAAUACAUGCAAGUCGAGCGAACAGACGAGGAGCUUGCUCCUCUUACGUUAGCGGCGGACGGGUGAGUAACACGUGGAUAACCUACCUAUAAGACUGGGAUAACUUCGGGAAACCGGAGCUAAUACCGGAUAAUAUAUUUAACCGCAUGGUUCAAUAGUGAAAGACGGUUUUGCUGUCACUUAUAGAUGGAUCCGCGCCGCAUUAGCUAGUUGGUAAGGUAACGGCUUACCAAGGCAACGAUGCGUAGCCGACCUGAGAGGGUGAUCGGCCACACUGGAACUGAGACACGGUCCAGACUCCUACGGGAGGCAGCAGUAGGGAAUCUUCCGCAAUGGGCGAAAGCCUGACGGAGCAACGCCGCGUGAGUGAUGAAGGUCUUCGGAUCGUAAAACUCUGUUAUUAGGGAAGAACAAAUGUGUAAGUAACUAUGCACGUCUUGACGGUACCUAAUCAGAAAGCCACGGCUAACUACGUG